UUCACAAUAGGGGUGUUGCUCUCUCCACCACCGUUUUUGCUCCCUCUAUUUUCCCAACUUUCUAUAAAAAAACUUCAAUUACAAAAUUAAUCUUUUUUACUUUUUAACUCUAUAUAGUUACUCUUCUUUACUCUUCAUAAACCCUAAACUGUGCAACCCCACUCCCUUUUCUUUUCUCUCUUUCCAAAUUCCUAUCCCCUCCAUCUCAGCUAUGUUUCCCUCCAACUCUCAGAUCCGUUAUUUCUCUUCCAUAUCCGUUUGUUUGUUUCCUGUCUCCGUCUCUGUUUGGGUUUCGUGGUUCGGCGGUGUGGCGGUGAGAGGGUGCGGCUGUGUGUGCGGUGUUCAGUGGUGCUUCGCGACUUGAGUCUACGAGAGUUUCCUGUUCUCGGCUGGAUUGUUGUACGAGGUUAACAAGAUUUCUGGGUCUGCUGUCUCAACAAGCGACAUCAAGACUAAAAAGCAAAGUGGAAGAGCUUUUAAGCAUAUGUAUGCUUCCUAUAAAGGCAUCUUUAGAAAAUUUUCCCCAGUAGUAUUAGUUUUAUAACCCUAGUAUCAUCAUAAAUUAUAAGAGUGUUUUAAGCUUGUUUGACAUUUCUUAGUACAAUUUCAAUGAUAUAUGAUUUGAACGA